GCGACGGGUGAGUAAUAUAUCGGAACGUGCCCUAGAGUGGGGGAUAACUAGUCGAAAGAUUAGCUAAUACCGCAUACGAUCUAAGGAUGAAAGUGGGGGAUCGCAAGACCUCAUGCUCGUGGAGCGGCCGAUAUCUGAUUAGCUAGUUGGUGGGGUAAAAGCUCACCAAGGCGACGAUCAGUAGCUGGUCUGAGAGGACGACCAGCCACACUGGAACUGAGACACGGUCCAGACUCCUACGGGAGGCAGCAGUGGGGAAUUUUGGACAAUGGGGGCAACCCUGAUCCAGCAAUGCCGCGUGAGUGAAGAAGGCCUUCGGGUUGUAAAGCUCUUUUGUCAGGGAAGAAACGGUGGGAGCUAAUAUCUCUUGCUAAUGACGGUACCUGAAGAAUAAGCACCGGCUAACUACGUGCCAGCAGCCGCGGUAAUACGUAGGGUGCAAGCGUUAAUCGGAAUUACUGGGCGUAAAGCGUGCGCAGGCGGUUAUGUAAGACAGAUGUGAAAUCCCCGGGCUCAACCUGGGAAUUGCAUUUGUGACUGCAUGGCUAGAGUGUGUCAGAGGGGGGUAGAAUUCCACGUGUAGCAGUGAAAUGCGUAGAUAUGUGGAGG
rnacentral:rRNA from 1 species